rnacentral:lncRNA from 1 species
ACAUGGCUAUGAUUGGUUAUAUGAGUUUGUGAAAUUACAAACCUAAUUUCUGGGUGGUGUCAAAGAUGGGAUUACCUGAAACGGAUUCCCACGUUGCUUUGUGAUUUGGUGAUUAUGGUUCUUGACUUCUCUAAGAGAGGAAUAAAAGUGCCACACUCACUAAUGACCAAAUUGGUCAGUUCCACUCAUAUGCCCCCUAUAGCCUCUUUACCAUCUAGCCUUUCCAGAGUUAACCUAUUGUAAAAUUAGAUUGUAAAAAUGGACAGAGUGGCCACCACUCUGGGAUAAGGGUGAAGGACUCAUGGUGUCAUCCCCACUAAAUACUCCAGUGGAAAUUAUCACUUAAUUAUUUGUGAUAUCACCCAGCUCCCCAAAGAGCUGGCCUUCCUUUUCAGCCCCAGUUAUCUUUUGGAAGUGUAACUCUUUCAGUUUGAUUGUCCUGGGAACACAUGCAGUUUUCUCUUGAUGGGGAAACCCCUCUCUGAAGGUCUGCGUUUUAAGUGGCAGAGAUGCAAAAACAGCCUUCUAGACAGAGUUUCUAAUUGAAUUCUCCUCUAUACCGUUAUCCAUAAACUGAGUAAUGCAUCCAAGGAAGAAGAGAGGAUGAGAGAGGUCAGGAAGUUUAGAUUCCAGUAAAAUUUAAAUAGCCACUGAAUUUGCCAUAGCAAAACAUGAGCUAUGAUUCUGUUAGUACACAGGAAAAGUCAAUUAGGUGAACUGAUUUUUUAUGGUGUUGGGAAUAUUAUAAUUCAGGGAUUCUUAACCUAUAGCUUAACCUAUAGGCAAUUUAAGACUAGAUUUCAGGGGUAGGGCAGUGAAACUUCUAAAAUUGCUGUAACAUUUUUUAUUAAGUCAUAGGCAGUUUCCUAGGGAGAGGCUUUUAUCAAAUUCUCAGAAGGGUCCACUGCCAUAAAAGAUUAAGGAACCACUGCAUUCUAUCAUCAUAAUUUUUUGUCUUCUUUCAAAAGUUGAUAUUCUGGUUUUUUUUAUGCAGAAAAGACAAAAGCAUGUACAACUCUGAUAUUUCAUGAUCUUUAAUUUCUUCCCCCUCCUGGAUGUCCUAUAAUAAAUGUACAGGAAAGAAAUAUAAAACGCUAUCCAAACUCAGUUAAUAGCUCUGAGAAAUGCACACUCAGAGUGCUUUAAAAUCAGGUUACAAAUAUCAUUUUCAAUUUGCUGGGGAGAAAAUAGGAAGAGUCCCUUGGAAUACAGAAUAAAUUCAUUCUAUGUACAUUAUCAGUGUUGGUUCAUUAUAUUCUCAUUGGCCCACAACUCAACACAUCUUUAAGAAGCAAAAGUGCAUACACUCUCCCUUACUGACAAUAUUUAGGGGAAGACCACAUACUUUGUGAACUACUGUGAGUUGAGUUCUUGUAGUCAAAGCAGUAGUAGGUGGAGCUUCAUUCUCUGGUAUUAAAAUCCUAAAAGUGAGUAGUGUUAUUAAUUGGGGGCACUUUUGAGAUUUGAUUAAGAAAUUUACUGCUCUUGUGGGUUGUUUCCUCCCUUGUGGGAUGUUCUGGAUGAAUGUCAAGGUCUAGCCCCGGCAGAUUCCAGAAAGCUUGUCCAUCUAAAUUUGCUGUUAAGCCAUGGGAACUUUUCUAUUGCAGUCUUUGGGUCAUGGUAACGUGUAAAGCCUAGAGUUUGUUGAAGGGCACUUUUCUCUCUCUAAAAUUCUCCAUUCCUCACAACUGGUUUUUAUUAUUCCGUGACAUGCUGGGAGUGUUGCUAUGACUGUUUGAGAAGUAUGGGCAGAUAUAUUGCUGGCUGGCUUCUUACAGGAAGAGUUUCCCAUGAUGAACGGGAGCAGUGAUAGAUCACACCUACUAGAGCUGAAGUGUGGAUUGAGCCAGGACUUGAAGAGUAAAUGGAAAAUGAAAAAAAAAAAAAAAAGGCUUGGGGGAGGGUGGUUUCUUUUAUUUCUCACCUUAUUCUACUGGGCUGUUGUCUUUCCCUAAGAUCAUGGCAAAAAGUUUCAGAGAUUAUGUACAACAACUGUAUUGGAACCCUGCAACCAUUACAAAAUUGAAUUAGAAGUAAUUGGUUUUAUGCUACUCUGAGCACCCACCAUAGCUUAAACACAUACACACAUGCGUGCACGCAGGCACACACACACACAAACACACACACACGGGUGAUAAUGAAAAAUACUUUGGUGGCCUCAGGAAAUGAUAGAAUUUUCUCCCAUGUUUAGCUCCCACUCUCCUGAGGAACAGGUUGAUAGCUGUGACUAUUCUUCUUUGAUACCACACCAAAACUUAACAAGUUUCUCAAAAGUUAGUUGUGUGAUACCUGAAACAAUAUCAAUGAAUUUUUUAACUCCUUACAUUAAAAUACAUUGGUAUAUCUUUCACUAUGAAUAGGUCUUUUACCCAUCAUCAUUUUGUAACAUCACUCAUUGGUCAUUUGAAAAAUAUUGGUUCACUGAGUUAUGUUCAUUGAGUUAUGUGACAUACUUUGUUAGACAAUAUCAACGAUUUAUGUUCAUUAAUAUCACCAUUGAUCUCAUCAGAAAAGCACAAAUGUCAGACAUUAGAGCCAAUAGGGAGUCUUAGUCACCCGGUCAAUGCUAUUUGAUACAUUUCCCUAAAUGACAUGUUCUUCUUCAUGUCGUUGCAUCCACGCAAUAAUUAAAUGUACCUUCAAACACUAUUGAAGGUAGGUAGUCUUUGAGCUUAUUGCUUAAUUAGUUCAGGUUUGUCCUAUAGUUUCCCAUCACUGUGCAAUCAAUACUACUCUAGACAACAUUCCACCAAUAUUGGGAAAAGAUGCCUCCUGCCUCCACGAGUGGAUGCAGCAGAGUUCAAAUUGUGUUGUAAAUUAGUCGUAUGGGAAAUAUCAAG